AGUGAACGCUGGCGGUAGGCCUAACACAUGCAAGUCGAACGGCAGCACAGUAAGAGCUUGCUCUUACGGGUGGCGAGUGGCGGACGGGUGAGGAAUACAUCGGAAUCUACUUUUUCGUGGGGGAUAACGUAGGGAAACUUACGCUAAUACCUCAUACGACCUACGGGUGAAAGCAGGGGAUCUUCGGACCUUUCGCGAUUGAAUGAGCCGAUGUCGGAUUAGCUAGUUGGCGGGGUAAAGGCCCACCAAGGCGACGAUCCGUAGCUGGUCUGAGAGGAUGAUCAGCCACACUGGAACUGAGACACGGUCCAGACUCCUACGGGAGGCAGCAGUGGGGAAUAUUGCACAAUGGGCGCAAGCCUGAUCCAGCCAUACCGCGUGGGUGAAGAAGGCCUUCGGGUUGUAAAGCCCUGUUGUUGGGAAAGAAAAGCAGCAGGUUAAUACCCCGCUGUUCUGACGGUACCCAAAGAAUAAGCACCGGCCAACUUCGUG
rnacentral:rRNA from 1 species